ACUCAAAAGAAAAGAAGAGGGAUUUUUUUUGUAAGUUGAGAAGAAGUAUUCAAAUAAAAAAGCUUCUUGGCAUGAUUUUAGGUAGAAAAAAUGCAUGAAUUAGAGCUUGGAUGAGAGAGUUAUGCUUAUUUAAACUUAGGCUAUUAAUUUGAUACCUACCAUCACUUUUCUAUGCAUAUUAGGAGUUUUAAGAUACUAGUAAGAAAUUAGGAAAUUUGAUCAAAAAUUAGACUUUAAGUUUAAUAUUUUACGUCCAAAGAUCAAAAGAAUUGAGUCCAAAAUGAGUGAGAUAUGGUUAGUUAAAACUAGUAAACUAAAACUAGGAUUUUGAAGAAAUUAGAGAAAUAGUUGGUUUUGAUUUUAAGCUAGAACUUGAGCUUCAAGACGAAUUUGAAGCUCAUUUUUUGUAUACAUGUCACUUAUGAUAUAAAAAGCCUAUGCCUAAAAUUUCAUGUCAUUUGAAGCUCCGACUUCAAAGAAAUGGUAGAAUUUGCUCUUAGGUAUCUGAAGUUUUGACUUUUGAAGGUAGCUACUAUGGUUUUGGUGAUAUCAGACAAUUUGUAACAAAUUUGCAACUAAAAAUUUGUAUGAUAAUGAUCAAAAGUACAAAUUUUGUAUCUCUAAAUUUUAAGCUUAUUUGAAUGACUAGAUCUUAGGUUAUAAAUUUUUAAGCUUUAAGUUUGUUGGUAUAUUAUAAACAUAGUUUUAUAAAUACUCAAAGGGGGAUUUAAGAAGGUUUUGUGCAUAUUGGACUCAAUUUGAAUAUAAAGAGGGACCUU
rnacentral:lncRNA from 1 species